GAUGAACGCUAGCUACAGGCUUAACACAUGCAGGUCGAGGGGCAGCAUGGUCUUAGCUUGCUAAGGUCGAUGGCGACCGGCGCACGGGUGAGUAACACGUAUCCAACCUGCCGUCUACUCUUGGACAGCCUUCUGAAAGGAAGAUUAAUACAAGAUGGCAUCAUGAGUCCGCAUGUUCACAUGAUUAAAGGUAUUCCGGUAGACGAUGGGGAUGCGUUCCAUUAGAUAGUAGGCGGGGUAACGGCCCACCUAGUCUUCGAUGGAUAGGGGUUCUGAGAGGAAGGUCCCCCACAUUGGAACUGAGACACGGUCCAAACUCCUACGGGAGGCAGCAGUGAGGAAUAUUGGUCAAUGGGCGCAGGCCUGAACCAGCCAAGUAGCGUGAAGGAUGACAGCCCUAUGGGUUGUAAACUUCUUUUAUAAAGGAAUAAAGUCGGGUAUGUAUACCCGUUUGCAUGUACUUUAUGAAUAAGGAUCGGCUAACUCCGUG
rnacentral:rRNA from 1 species